GAUGAACGCUGGCGGCGUGCUUAACACAUGCAAGUCGAACGAAGCACUUUAUUUGAUUUCCUUCGGGACUGAUUAUUUUGUGACUGAGUGGCGGACGGGUGAGUAACGCGUGGGUAACCUGCCUUGUACAGGGGGAUAACAGUUGGAAACGGCUGCUAAUACCGCAUAAGCGCACAGCAUCGCAUGAUGCAGUGUGAAAAACUCCGGUGGUAUAAGAUGGACCCGCGUUGGAUUAGCUAGUUGGUGAGGUAACGGCCCACCAAGGCGACGAUCCAUAGCCGACCUGGGAGGGUGACCGGCCACAGUGGGACUGAGACACGGCCCAAACUCCUACGGGAGGCAGCAGUGGGGAAUAUUGCACAAUGGGCGAAAGCCUGAUGCAGCGACGCCGCGUGAGCGAAGAAGUAUUUCGGUAUGUAAAGCUCUAUCAGCAGGGAAGAUAAUGACGGUACCUGACUAAGAAGCACCGGCUAAAUACGUG
rnacentral:rRNA from 1 species